GUCUGCUUUGGCAGCACGUAUGCUAAAAUUUGCACAAUGCAGAGCAUAGCAUGGCCCCUGCUCAAGAAUGACACACAAAUUCAUAAAGCAUUACAUAUUUAA